UACGGAGGGUGCAAGCGUUAAUCGGAAUUACUGGGCGUAAAGCGCACGCAGGUGGCUGAGAAAGUCGAUUGUGAAAGCCCUGGGCUUAACCUGGGAAUUGCAGUCGAAACUACUCGGCUAGAGUAUGGGAGAGGACAGUGGAAUUCCCGGUGUAGCGGUGAAAUGCGUAGAUAUCGGGAGGAACAUCAGUGGCGAAGGCGGCUGUCUGGCCCAAUACUGACACUCAGGUGCGACGAGCG
rnacentral:rRNA from 1 species